rnacentral:tRNA from 1 species
AGCGAGAUGGGGCAGUCAGGAGUGCCCGAUGGGCCCAUAACCCAUAGGUCGGUGGUUCAAAUCCACCUCUCGCUA